GGGAGAGACCCAAAAGGCAGUACAUCUGACACUCAAGGUAUGAGCUAGCUAAAGUCUAUGGCCUAAGGGGCCAACUCCAAGAGGGAGUAAGGCAGUACAAGUUGUUGAGGCAUGAAAGAGACCCUGUGAGAGGGGGUGGAGUGAAAAAGGCCCCAGUGAGAGGAGGGCAGUGUGAAUGUGUGUGCAUCUGAGGCCUGACAAUGAUGCCUAAGCUUGGUCCAUCUGUAAGCGAGGAGCAUUGUCAUCUGGAUGCCAUCUGAGAGGCUUGGGCUGUGGUGUAGGGGAGGAACAAAGCCACAGAUAGUGCCCCCUGGCAUCAGGGCAAGAAUGGGCCUAAUUAACAUCCUAAUUAGAUAUCAACAAGGCAUGGCAGGAGAGACAGGUGGGUGGUGUGCCCAAAGGCAGGUGGGGAAACUAGCACUGUGGACAGUCAGGGAGUCUCAUCUUACCACACCAGCCCUUUGUGAAAUGCUUCCUUAGCUAUCUUAAUAUGGGCAUGCAAUCCUACAAAUGUAUUUGUGAUGCAUUGGUAGAUGUUUUCUAUGAUUUCCUUCCUAAAUGGAGGCUCUAGGAACUUCCUGUUUUAAACAAAAGUAUCCCAGGGACGCAGGAUUGGGCAAGGGGGAAACCUCAUCCGGAAGCAGACCCCAGACAAAAGUAAAAGAAGAAAAAAAACAACUGUUGCAGGGGUCUGGAGAAGCAAGGAGGUGCACCAGGGAAAACCACCCGAGCUGUUUAUCAGCUGUGCCCAUCUCCAGCUAGAGCCGGGUGACAUCACGAAGAGGCAUUACCCGGUGAAGUUCCCUGCCUAGAGCAGUUUAGCUUAGCACACCAUACCAGAUUGGAGAAAUUAGAGACCCCAUUUGAAGACGAAAGACUAUGUGAGAAUGCAGCAACAACCAACAGCAUCUGUCAUAGAAGACGCAGGGUGUCGAAAGGGACAACCCCAAAGGCCAGAGCCCGAGGUGCCUGUCCAUGAGAGAGGACAUGUAGGAACCGAGGAAGACAUCAACAGGGGAUAGCCGCAAAAGAUCCUGAGGCUUGUCUCGAAGGUUGGCAUAUGGCCAGAGUGUAGGGGAGGUUGUAGCACCGUGGACAUCCGCCAGGACAUGUGACAACUCUGGAGGCAUCCUGAAAGGGGACCCACUUCACUGAAGGACCAUCUGAAGUCAUGGCAGGAGACUUUGGGAGAUACCCCGAAGGUUCCUAAACUAUUUGAGCAGUGCCAUUUGCGUGUGAGAGAGAUUUAAAUUCAUACUGCAGACAAGCUGAGAAACAGCUGCUUGUUGACUAAUGGCUUACUGUGCACCUCAGCAAUCCUGUCAUCACCUGAAAACCAUUCAUCACAAAACAUCUGUUGUGAGUGAAGAGAUAAAAGGUGUCAAUCUUCUCUGUAUUAUUUGUAACUGAUGGAAGUGAAUAUGUUUUAAGAGUCUAACAGAUAUAUAUUCAUUUUAGUUAAAUGUAGUAUUACUUUUAAAUGUAAUUACCAAAUACAUAUUCUGGUAGUUAAGAGUUGAGAUGAAGCACACCCUUAAUUUCACAAUGUAAUUUCACAUACUAGAUUUUGUCCAAUUUAAAUUUACCAAAAUAGAUUACAAUUGAUUUUUUUUUUUUUUUACAAAUAUUUAAAAAACAAUAUCCAUUUAAUUAUCUCAUCUCUUAAAGCCACAGGAAAAAAAAAUCUUUGUCUAUUUCCAAUUACUAUGCCUACUUAUCCUACAUUUUAUUGUAAUAGGAAAUAUGUAUGCCAUUCAUCUAUGAACCAAUAUACUGUGUGAGAAUAUGGACUGCAAUUUUUAUCACUGUUGAAUUACAUCAUAUUGGAGUAUAACUAUUUAUACAGGAAAAUUCUUAUUUAAUUUAAUUAAAAAGAAUUUUGGUAUGCAGUGCCUUAGCGUUCCACCUGGAUUAACCUGAUGGCCUACCAAGGCUCCUUUACAGAUGUUAUGCUCAGUUGAGUCAAUAGUUCAUGAACAAAGAAGGAUUUACACAGUAAUCCAUAAUGACUCUUUAGGUGCUGUUAUGGUUUAUCAGGAUAAAUAUCAGGUAGAUAAUACACAUAACAAAGUGCAUAUAAUACCUGAAAAGCAAACAUUUGACUGCUUAAAUAAUAGAUCUUUAAAGGCCUAGUUAGACUCUUGUAGGAUUUUCACUAAAAGUUUACCUGUGAGAAUACAUUAAGCAUCCAUAUCUAUUUACUUGCUCUGAUAUGAAAAUUUAAGACAUGAACACAAAUUCUUCCUUUUUCCCAGCAUUGUAUUAGUGUUGUUGAUUUGUGUCCCAAACUCAGUAUAAGUUAAAUGUAGAUGCAGUAUUUUUGUGGAUAAAAUGAUCUGCAAAUUUUAAAUAUCGUUAUCUUGCCUGUAUAGACGAUGAUUGCAAUCCAUGCUUUCACACUCUAUGUUGUUGGUAUUAGCCCCGAUUCACUUGGCCAAAUGCUAAUAUAUAACCACUUUGCCUAGUGCUGUCCUAAGUAGGGAUGAUUUACUGACUGGAACAGUUUGCAUAAAAGCUUUAGAUGUAUCAUUAAUUUUAGUAGGUAUAAAAAGGAUCUUGACACAAGUAUAUCAUAUGUAUACAGGUAGCAUGUGUGGCUGUGCAUACAAAGCAGGUUACUAAUAACUCCUUAUAUUGUCAGAUUUGGCCAAUGAUAAUGGUUAAUUCAUUCUGUCACCUCCUUGUUUGCAAGUCUCUGGCCAAAAUCACUCCAGAAUGAGGGUACUGCAGUGCAAACUGCCCAGGAUUGAUAGUCCAAAGAGAUGCAGAGCCUUCAGAGAAGGCAAGGUUUGCCGUUUAGUGGGACAUGGCCAGAUGAACCCUGAGAUUCAUUUCUUGAAACUUUUUUAUGAAAAGCUACUUCAGGCAUAGUCUGUCUUGAAUGUAAAGCUGCUCAGCUCUAUGGCUGCCAUCUUCUCCUACAGGUAAAUGCCUCGUCUAGUGUAACUGUCCCGGAGGCAGAGGGUCGUGCAGAUUAUACCUCUGGAGUAUAUGGAUGAGAAUCAGACUUUACAAGUGUAUUUUCUUCAGCUUCCUGGUUGUGGUGGUGGUCUUUUUAAUAAUUUAUUUUCAGGCAAUUUCACAUUUCAGGUUCUCGGACACUGGAUAAUAGAAAUAUUGGGGUUGUAGUCACCACAAAAUAAAGUUUGUUUAAUGAAACUCAUUCUAUAAUUAGAAAUUAUUUUCUUGUCUAUAAUGCUUAUAUAUUUCGUAAAACUGCAUAUUAGCAAAAUGUAACAUUUAAAUUAUGUUAACUAUACAGUCAUUUAGAAUGAUGCCUGCCACUGAAGUAAUUGUUAGCAUAUGAUCUAUUACUUACUUCAUAAAUUAAAUUUUAAACAUAAAUGAGCUGUCAUGUUUUUAUCACUAGGGGGCAGCAAAGUAAUGACUAUCUAUGUUUUGGAGUUUCCUUGGGAGUGUUGACAUAUAACUUGGCAAUUGGAUAAUUUUGAUAUUGUCCUGACACAUAAACACCUACAGUCAGGUUUUCAAAGGUUAUUUGCACACUAAAAGAGGAAUUAACAAAAUGAACUUACAUGCCAAAAGUAAUUUUGAAUAUUCUACAAAGACUAUAGUCCUAUAAGAUUGUUUUGGGGGAGAAAAAAAUACCCCUGUCAUUAACAGUAUAUUUUUAAAUGAACUAGCAAUGCACACAUUCAGAAUAAGUCAAUCUAAAUGAUUGGAGGGAAUGUGCAUACAGCAACUAAUACAAAUAAAAAUAAACCCAGCAUUGCUUGCAGGCUUUGGAUCAUGUUGCGUCAUUCACAAGAAACAUUUUUUUAGAAAUAAAAGUUUGUAUAUACUUAAGGUAGCAUGGUAUAGUGAUGUUAAUUUGAAUAGCAGUUGUGUUCAUAAUGUAUCAUUGUGUUUGUUAUGAUGCAGUUUCCCUUUUUUAAGUCAUUACUCUACCUUCAGGAAAAGAAGUCAGCAAAUUAUCAGAGUUUAUUUCAUUGACUUUCCCACACCUUGAGAAAUAGCCCAUUUGUAUUAUCACAGUUUGAUAUAUUUCCCAUUUACUGAGCUUCUUUGGCAAGCUGGCAUUUUAAUUUAAUUAUACUUUUUUGCUAAUGGUCUUUAUUUUUCAGUGUCUACGUGGUAAAAUGCCUUUAAGGUUUGAUUUUUUUUUUCCUAUUUCCCUUUUUUCUAUUGCUAGGCUAUAGUGUAAAUUUAUAAACUGACAAAAUUCAGUGUUAAAUUCAGGGAGGUGAAACUAAAGAAUCUGUAUAGAAAUCCUCCUGAAACGAUUAAACAUUUCCUCACUUUCAGAAUGUGAUUCCUGCAUAUAUUUAGUUUCAUACACCACUAAUUAGGAACUCUAUUAAAAAGAGAAUGUAUUUGGUAAUACACGGAAAAGAUCCAUGCAAUUAACAUGCUAUGCCUUAAAAACCUGUUGGAGGGUCUAAUCCUGCAUCACUGAAUUUAAUGAAUGUUUUGUCACUUACUUCACUGGGAACAGGAUCUAUGUUUUUUAAUUUAAAUAUAAAAUAAAAUAGCUUCUGUUUCUUGA